AGAGUUUGAUCCUGGCUCAGGAUGAACGCUAGCUACAGGCUUAACACAUGCAAGUCGAGGGGCAGCAUCAUCAAAGCUUGCUUUGAUGGAUGGCGACCGGCGCACGGGUGAGUAACACGUAUCCAACCUGCCGACAACACUGGGAUAGCCUUUCGAAAGAAAGAUUAAUACCGGAUGGCAUAGUUUUCCCGCAUGGGAUAAUUAUUAAAGAAUUUCGGUUGUCGAUGGGGAUGCGUUCCAUUAGGCAGUUGGCGGGGUAACGGCCCACCAAACCAACGAUGGAUAGGGGUUCUGAGAGGAAGGUCCCCCACAUUGGAACUGAGACACGGUCCAAACUCCUACGGGAGGCAGCAGUGAGGAAUAUUGGUCAAUGGACGAGAGUCUGAACCAGCCAAGUAGCGUGAAGGAUGACUGCCCUAUGGGUUGUAAACUUCUUUUAUACGGGAAUAAAGUUAGCCACGUGUGGCUUUUUGUAUGUACCGUAUGAAUAAGGAUCGGCUAACUCCGUGCCAGCAGCCGCGGUAAUACGGAGGAUCCGAGCGUUAUCCGGAUUUAUUGGGUUUAAAGGGAGCGUAGGCGGGUUGUUAAGUCAGUUGUGAAAGUUUGCGGCUCAACCGUAAAAUUGCAGUUGAUACUGGCGACCUUGAGUGCAACAGAGGUAGGCGGAAUUCGUGGUGUAGCGGUGAAAUGCUUAGAUAUCACGAAGAACUCCGAUUGCGAAGGCAGCUUACUGGACUGUAACUGACGCUGAUGCUCGAAAGUGUGGGUAUCAAACAGGAUUAGAUACCCUGGUAGUCCACACAGUAAACGAUGAAUACUCGCUGUUGGCGAUACACAGUCAGCGGCCAAGCGAAAGCAUUAAGUAUUCCACCUGGGGAGUACGCCGGCAACGGUGAAACUCAAAGGAAUUGACGGGGGCCCGCACAAGCGGAGGAACAUGUGGUUUAAUUCGAUGAUACGCGAGGAACCUUACCCGGGCUUAAAUUGCAGCGGAAUGUAGUGGAAACAUUACAGCCUUCGGGCCGCUGUGAAGGUGCUGCAUGGUUGUCGUCAGCUCGUGCCGUGAGGUGUCGGCUUAAGUGCCAUAACGAGCGCAACCCUUAUCUAUAGUUACUAUCAGGUCAUGCUGAGGACUCUAUGGAGACUGCCGUCGUAAGAUGUGAGGAAGGUGGGGAUGACGUCAAAUCAGCACGGCCCUUACGUCCGGGGCUACACACGUGUUACAAUGGGGGGUACAGAAGGCAGCUACCUGGCGACAGGAUGCUAAUCCCAAAAACCUCUCUCAGUUCGGAUUGGAGUCUGCAACCCGACUCCAUGAAGCUGGAUUCGCUAGUAAUCGCGCAUCAGCCACGGCGCGGUGAAUACGUUCCCGGGCCUUGUACACACCGCCCGUCAAG
rnacentral:rRNA from 1 species